rnacentral:rRNA from 1 species
GGCGGCUGUCUGGUCUGCAACUGACGCUGAGGCUCGAAAGCAUGGGUAGCGAACAGGAUUAGAUACCCUGGGUAGUCCAUGCCGUAAAACGAUGAUUACUAAGUGUUGGAGGGUUUCCGCCCUUCAGUGCUGCAGCUAACGCAUUAAGUAAUCCGCCUGGGGAGUACGACCGCAAGGUUGAAACUCAAAAGAAUUGACGGGGGCCCGCACAAGCGGUGGAGCAUGUGGUUUAAUUUGAAGCUACGCGAAGAACCUUACCAGGUCUUGACAUCUUCUGACAGUCUAAGAGAUUAGAGGUUCCCUUCGGGGACAGAAUGACAGGUGGUGCAUGGUUGUCGUCAGCUCGUGUCGUGAGAUGUUGGGUUAAGUCCCGCAACGAGCGCAACCCUUAUUACUAGUUGCCAGCAUUAAGUUGGGCACUCUAGUGAGACUGCCGGUGACAAACCGGAGGAAGGUGGGGACGACGUCAAAUCAUCAUGCCCCUUAUGACCUGGGCUACACACGUGCUACAAUGGAUGGUACAACGAGUCGCGAGACCGCGAGGUUAAGCUAAUCUCUUAAAACCAUUCUCAGUUCGGACUGUAGGCUGCAACUCGCCUACACGAAGUCGGAAUCGCUAGUAAUCGCGGAUCAGCAUGCCGCGGUGAAUACGUUCCCGGGCCUUGUACACACCGCCCGUCACACCAUGAGAGUUUGUAACACCCAAAGCCGGUGGGGUAACCUUUUAGGAGCUAGCCGUCUAAGGUGGGACAGAUGAUUAGGGUGAAGUCGUAAC